GAGUGUUAAAGUAGACUUCACGGUUCGUUUCAAGUCACCCACGGCCAUUGAUACUGAUGACGUCCAAGCUGUGUUGUCGGGGAAGAAAAACAUUGGUGGUCUGGAGAUAGACGAUACUGUCACCAGCAUCAUAGCUAUAGGUAUUUCCACGAAUCUCAGCAUACUGUGCCAUAUUUUAAAAGCAUUAUUGGAACCAUCAUAAUAAAUCCAAGCGACGAAGGGCGUUUUAUCGGCAUUACCUGUGCAACAAUUUUGAUUCACAAUAUAUGUGACAUUGAGAUCAACGGACGACUUGGCGAUGAUUGAAACGUUUAUCAUUUACCGUACCCACAAUCCCAACAGAACAGGACUUGUUUUAAAGAUUGCACUGCUGUUUAAUCUAAUCUAACUCUUUGUACAAUUUCAGAGGUGGCCGGAGAUGAGGACAGUGCUGCAUGGUACCACGACCCUAUAUACAUCUCAGUCAUCUGUGUUGGCGGCUGCAGUCGUUGUCACAGCGAUCGUUGUAUUGGUGAUUUGCUGUGCUUCAAAGGGUCGUCGCAAGCCCGCACCCAGGCAUAACCAUGGACAACGCUUGCUACAACAGCACAUGCUGAUUCCACGGGCGAAACUCUCGCGAGAGCCUGCGAGACAGAUGUACCAGAACCCAGUGUACAGCGUCAACGAAUGGAUCGGGGAUGAAGAUGUAAGUUAACGUAAUAUUCAAUUUACGGCUGUGAUCAGCAAUGAUACAUGAUGACACAGUGUAUCUGAUGAAUUCAGAAGGAACUUAGAUGAAACGAAUACAGAUAGAACUGACCGCUAUUAGUUGACAAGUGUAGAAGUGCUUCUGUAGUGCUGUUUUUAGCAAGUUUUGACAAGUUGUUUAUUGUGAAAUGCGUGUUUAUUGAUAAAGCUUUGGAACUAUUUAUGUACCUUGAAUUUUUCUCUAGCAGUUAACUCGGCCUUCGUUUCAAGUACUGUCCCUAUCCUUCCUGCAAAAAGGAACAUCAUUGGCUAUUGACAGGGAAAUAUUUUGUAAAUAUUGUAAUGUACAAAAUGUUAAAUCUAUUAGCACUUAAACCAUUUGGUAGACUUGAUGACAAUGUAGGCAAUAUAUAUGACAAAAUAACAAACCCAGGCGGGAACUUUCGUAGGUCAACAAAUGUUUAUUUUUGCUUCUUUCGCAAUUAUCUUGUGUUUCAAUGUAAUGAAACAAGUCUACUUAGCUUGCACUGAUGAACCUGGUGUUG